AGCUCCAAUAGCGUAUAUUAAAGUUGUUGCAGUUAAAAAGCUCGUAGUUGGAUUUCUGGUGUGAGGGAACGGUCCGACCUCUGGUGGGUACUUGCUUCCUCUCACGCCAUCCUUGAGUGGUGCGUUCUGGCAUUCAGUUGUCGGGACGUUAGCCGCUCAUCGUUUACUGUGAGAAAAUUAGAGUGUUCAAAGCAGGCUUAUGCCGUUGAAUAUAUUAGCAUGGAAUAAUAAGAUAGGACUUCGGUACUAUUUUGUUGGUUUGCGCACCGAUGUAAUGAUCAAUAGGGACAGUUGGGGGUAUUCGUAUUCAGUUGUCAGAGGUGAAAUUCUUAGAUUUACGGAAGACGAACUACUGCGAAAGCAUUUACCAAGGAUGUUUUCAUUA
rnacentral:rRNA from 1 species